GGGAAUGUAGCUCAGCUGGUUAGAGCACUCGCCUGAUAAGCGAGAGGUCACAGGUUCGAGUCCUGUCAUUCCCA
rnacentral:tRNA from 1 species